rnacentral:lncRNA from 1 species
GGCUGGCUACUCGAUCGAUCGCGGAACCAUCCACCCGGCACGCUCUGCCAUUCUUAUCUCUCCCAAACCCCCUAUAAAACCCCUCACGCCCCCCGCAUUCUCCACUCACAAAACACCAGCUCGAUCUCUCCUUUUCCUUUCCUUCGAGCUCCACACAUCUUCUUCCUCUGGUAUCUUCUCCUUACAACCAUGGCUGCUCGGGUCUCUUUGGUGCUGGGCGUGCUGCUCGCCUGCUCGGCCGCGCUUGCGGCCGCCAACUUCAACCAGGAGUUCGACAUCACCUGGGGCGACGGCCGCGGCAAGAUCCGGGACAAUGGCCAGCUCCUGACGCUCACGCUCGACCGCACCUCCGGCUCGGGGUUCCAGUCCAAGCACGAGUACCUCUUCGGCAAGAUCGACAUGCAGCUCAAGCUCGUCCCCGGCAACUCCGCCGGCACCGUCACCGCCUACUACGUAAGAACCCAUUGAUGAUGAGGAUCACAUGUGCGUUUUGUUUGAUUUUUUGGCCUGCUGGCUGAUCGAUCGAUCAAUGUGUACCGUACCUCUGCAGCUGUCGUCGCAGGGGAACACCCACGACGAGAUCGACUUCGAGUUCCUGGGGAACGUCACGGGCGAGCCCUACACGCUGCACACCAACGUGUUCACGCAGGGGCAGGGGCAGCGCGAGCAGCAGUUCCGCCUCUGGUUCGACCCCACCAAGGACUUCCACACCUACUCCAUCCUCUGGAACCCCAAGCACGUCAU